AACGCGAAGAACCUUACCAGGGCUUGACAUGUAUUGUAACCCCGGUGAAAGCCGGGCAGCGUAGAAAUACGCGCUUUACACAGGUGCUGCAUGGCUGUCGUCAGCUCGUGUCGUGAGAUGUUGGGUUAAGUCCCGCAACGGGCGCAACCCUUGUGGUUUGUUGCCACCGGUUCAUUCCGAGCACUCAAAUCAGACUGCCCAGAUUAACUGGGAGGAAGGUGGGGAUGACGUCAAGUCCGUAUGGCCCUUACGUCCUGGGCUGCACACGUACUACAAUGUCCAGUACAAAGUGAUCCGAUGCCGCAAGGUGGAGGAAAUCAUGAAAACUGGGCUCAGUUCAGAUUGCAGGCUGCAACUCGCCUGCAUGAAGUCGGAAUCGCUAGUAAUGGUACAUCAGCAACGGUACCGUGAAUACGUUCCCGGGUC
rnacentral:rRNA from 1 species